UACGUAGGGACCGAGCGUUGUCCGGAAUCAUUGGGCGUAAAGAGCGUGUAGGCGGCCACUUAAGUCCUGCGUGAAAUCUUGCGGCUCAACCGCAAGCGGUCGUGGGAAACUGGGUGGCUAGAGUGCGGGAGAGGAGAGUGGAAUUCCUGGUGUAGCGGUGGAAUGCGCAGAUAUCAGGAAGAACAUCCGUGGCGAAGGCGGCUCACUGGACCGGUACUGACGCUGAUGCGCGAAAGCGUGGGGAGCAAACAGG
rnacentral:rRNA from 1 species